AAAAGAACCCGCAGCUAAUGAACCUGCGGGUCAAUUUGUAUCUAAGCGUGCCUAGAUACAGUAUGGGAGAGGAGAAACCGGAGGAAGAGCUUAUGGGGAAAAGUAAGUCUUCUCCGCG
rnacentral:ncRNA from 1 species